CCCAAACCGAUCCCCACACUCUCUCAUUCACUCUCAUCUGAUUUUUGGAGACUCUCUCAAGUGUUCUCUCCAUUUUCAACCCCAAGAACACCAAAGAAACUUGGAAGCUAAGUCUUGGUCUAGGAAGGGUUUUCCCUAAGUUGGUUAGGGUUUUUGAAAGGUUUGAAGGAGUCAAAGCUUAUAGGAAGGUCCAAACCUUAAGCAAGAACACCAAAGAGUAUUGGCUAAGCGUAACUGGACUGAACGUUGGAGGGUGAAAACCUGCUGAGCGCUAAGGACUCCAAGUAAGUGCAAGGGCAAGGCAGAGCAGUGAGCGCUGGAGUCUUCCUUGCAAAUGUACAUGUGGACCGACCUUUUGGGAAGCCUUUUUAUUUUUGGAAAUGUUGUGUAAUUUUCCUAAACUAGGCUCACUCUAAUCUUUAUAAAACAUGUUUGUAACUAAA